rnacentral:rRNA from 1 species
GAUGAACGCUGGCGGCGUGCCUAACACAUGCAAGUCGAACGGAGUCCAGCCUUUAAGACCUUCGGGUCAAAGAGGGGAAGACUGAGUGGCGGACGGGUGAGUAACACGUGGGCAACCUGGCUCAUAGAGGGGGAUAACAGAGAGAAAUUUCUGCUAAUACCGCAUAAGCACACACUGCCGCAUGGCAGAGUGUGAAAAGAGAAUCGCUAUGAGAUGGACCCGCGUCUGAUUAGCCAGUUGGCAGGGUAAGAGCCCACCAAAGCGACGAUCAGUAGCCGAUCUGAGAGGAUGAACGGCCACAUUGGGACUGAGACACGGCCCAAACUCCUACGGGAGGCAGCAGUGGGGGAUAUUGCACAAUGGGGGGAACCCUGAUGCAGCGACGCCGCGUGAGUGAAGAAGUAUUUCGGUAUGUAAAGCUCUAUCAGCAGGGAAGAUAA